GACCCGAAGGAUUCCAGAGCGCUUGCCCUAGGUCCUGGGGCAGCGAUGACUCACUGCAGCACCCCCUCCCACUUCGCCAAGCUGCCGUCUCCGCCCACCCCCAAACAAUCUCGACAGCGCAUUUCGGGAGCCACGGCUCCUGGCGCUUUGCUGGGGGCUAAAGGGAUUUAUCCCUUUCCUUGAAUCCCAGCAGGCUAGAACUACUCCCUCCCAGGCUUCAGGCUUGCCACGCUCUCCACCCGAUCCUUCCAUUGAAAGGCAGAGAAGGAAGGAUGCGCUUGGGAACUUUAAGACCCACGAACGACAGCGCAAUGAUGGAGCAGCCCAGUGUCCGGGGCAAAGUCCUCGAGGUUCAUUCAUGGAAGCCUCUGUCCAGCCUUUACCAUGCGCUGAGUGGGAAGCUGAGGAUAAGGAAAGAGCAAGACCCCCAAGAAACCCUGAUGUCUGGCUGAAAGCCGAAGCACGAUGCAACUUUGCUAUAUUUCUCUCUAGCAAGGAUUUGUAUAUUUUCGCUUUCUCCUCAAGUAACACCUGGACCUGCUCCUUUCCCUUCGAAUGCUGAGGGCUCAGUCUCCAAGUUCCUUUAUGAAACAGGGUGUACCAUCAGAGACGCAGGUAUUUACUGAAACCUGCUUUGUGCUGGGCAAUGUGCCAGAUGUUGGGGAUAAAAUGGUGCCUUCAGAAAUGAAGAUGCAAAGACAACAGGGGAAAACCAUGUAUGUUUAUGGACAGUCAUGCCAAAGUAUGAUUGGAAGACAAAAAGACAUGCGAUCUCACUAUGUUGCCCAGGUUGGUCUGAAACUCCUGGCCUCAAGCGAUCCCCCCUGCCUUGGCCUCCACAGUGCUGGAACUACAGGUAUGAGCCAUUGUACCCAGCCAGGAAAUACAAUUUUUGAAAGACUAAACAAGUUUCUAAAAUCAUUGCACAAUUAAGUAGCAGAAUUAGAACACAGAGUGGGCCUGUUUGAAACCAUCAGCUAUUAACCACCAUGCCAUACUUUGGAGGAGCAGACCCCACACUUGUAACUAAGCACUUGAAUUUAUCACUCCUGCAAGUCAAGACUUCGCCUAUGAACCAGCUGCCCUCUGCCAGCCCAGCUUCGUGUAUGUGCAAUCUCUACAGUUGCACAGGGCCCCAUGUUUGGCUUAGUACUUUGCUUUUGCUAUCUUUAAAUACUUAAUAAUUUUUAAACAAGUUCCCAUAUUUUUAUUUUGCACUGAGCUUCACAAAUUACAAAGUCAGUGCUACCCACAGUACCUAAGCUAUAACGAAUACAAAGCUUUAAAAGCUGCGUAGAGUUUAGCUGAAACUGUUGCCCAGUCUGAAGGAAAGUCCUAGGAGCUAAUUUUGGAAGAUGCUGUUCAGUCCUAGGUUAUGAAAAAAGGUUCUGCCCUUUUACAACUCUAGCAGGAAGAGCUAAGCUCCCGAUAUUCCGUCCAUUAAUGUCCCUGGUGAGAGUCUUCAAAUCUGACGAGCAACAAUGCAAGAAUUUCCCAGCCUCCAACAUGUGACCCACUUCUACAUUAUUAACUCCAAUAAACUGACCAAUUAAAUGUUUUUGUGGUCACAGAAUUUGUAAUAAUGUGGUUAAAGAUGCUUCAGAUAUGUCACAUUCAUUCACAUUGUGGCAGAAACUAUUGGUUAAAUAACUGAGCCAUAUCUAUCUUCCUUGUCCACUCUGCACAAAAGAGACUGGAAAAAAGCUGGACACUUGCUUCUUUCCCAUCCUCCUUUGCAGGUAAGCAUCGCUGUGUGACUUAGUGCUGGCCAAUGAGAUGGGAAGGAAGUCUUCUGGGAUGCAAAAAGCUUUUUUCUUUGUUAAUAAAAAGGAGAACGCCUCUCCAGGAACAGAUCUUUUUCAAUACCACUCUGUUGCCCACUUCCUACCUUCAUGUUGUUUGGAGCUACAGCACCCAUCUUGAAAUAAUAAGGUAAAACACAUCACUAUGAAAAGCCAACAGCUGAAUUUAGAGUAGACAGGAUGGAAGGGACCUGCUGACACUGUGGAGCAACUGAACCAGUGCUGUGGACUGCCUAGUUAACCUACUACUUGUUUAAAUCUCUGAAGGGCUAUAUUUUUAAAAUUUUGCAACCAAAGUUAUUCUUAGUCUAAGCAUACAACUUUGAAAAAUGUGAUCCCUUUGACAAGAUAACAAGCCUUCCAUUACCUGCUGCAGGUGGCCCAGUUUGCUGGCUGUUGUGGGUAGCUCAGAACAGGACUCUAAGGCACCCUGACCCUCCCUCUGCUUUAAAACUCAACACCAAACUGUAUUCAUCCUUGUGGUACUGCCUGUGUCUUAACAUGCAUCCCAACACCUGGCACAGAGCCUGGCACUGGCAACCUCUCAGGAAAUUUGCUAAAUGAACUGAUAGUGUAGCAUUCUGUCACUUUCCUCAGCAACAAAAGUCUAAUUCUUCAAAAAAUUUUCCUUUUGCAACUGAAUUUAAAAAUGAAAUACCUACCACCUACCACUUAAAGUUUUGCUAGGUGAUGGCUUACCAAAAAAAAAAAAAAAAAAAAAAGGAAAAAUACUCUUGUAUGAU